CUGCCUUCCCCGAAGCCUAUAAAAGCGCAGGUCCCUGCCUCGGCAGCCACGGGACACCUGCAUCUGCCAACAAGACUGGAAGCAGGUGAGGCACACAGAGGGGGAGGCCCGCAGCUGCGUGGGAGGAGGGGUGGUCUGAGGGACAUGGGAUGCCGGGAAUUAGACUGGUUUGCAGGUCGGCGCAUGGACAUUUUCCCAGGAACGGACAGAGACAGCAAAGUUUGACGGUCUGGAAAGCAGAAAUCAGUGGGGCUGACUGCUUGGGAGCACCAAGUAUACGGACAGCGCCUCUCGGGGGUUCCAAGGAGAGAACCGCGAUCUGUUUCAGCACCGGGGCUCAGGACAGUUCCCAGAGGGCUCCGUUUCGGCGCCGGAACCCUGGACAACUCCCCCAGCUUGGAAUGUACUCCCCCCACCUCCACCCAGAGCUCCCCACAACUGACCCUGCCUUCUUCUGCAAGCUCCGUUUCAUCAAAGGAAAUGAUCCUUAUUGCCUCACCAUUGCCCACGUGAAGUCUGUAUUGACAUUCUCAUAGACCUAGGAUAUUGUAUCUGCAGCACAUAGUCCAGUUAUUUUCAUGUUAUCUACUGACAGGUCUAUUUGUCUCCCUGUUACACUGUGAUCUCCGUGAGGACAGAAACAAAGUUUGUAUUUUCACUGCUGUGUCCCCAGUGCCUGGUCCAGGGCCCAGCACACAGCAGGCGUACAAUAAGCAUGUGUUGAAUCAAUAAAGGCAUCAAAGAAUAAACCAAUACAUCAAUCAAUAAAUGAAUGAAUGGCCUCAGCAAACACAGGAAGAUCCUUCUUCUAGGUCUCCCCCAGAGAGAUACCGGAGAGCGAUGGUUGCUGCAGGUGUUUAUUGGGGAAGCAUAAUUGAAUUUGUGGACACUUAAGGGCCGGCCAGCCAACUCAUAGCCCCAAGAGAGAGAGCCAGGCUCAUUUAAUUAGCAAUUACAAGGCAUUGAUUCCUUAUUCGCUCUGGCAACCCUUGUCUCCCUCCUCAGCCCCAGACAAAUGAAAUCUUUCUCUCUCUCCCAGGAGGACUGCCUCAGUGGGUCUAUUAACAAGCAGAGAAAAUGAGAUUAGAAGACACCUAAAUGCCAGAGGCACUUUAUGAAUGGGCUGAGCAGUGGGAGGUUCAAUGUCUGGGUUAGGUCUAAUUGUGGGAGUUUUCCUGGUCUAUUUAGAAUUGCCCCCUGGGAAUGCAAGGUCUUUCAGAAAGGAAAAGGCACACAGAUAUUGCCUUUUGGGGUCCUCAAUGGAGGAGGGCAUUCUACUAUGGGUGUGGCGAGUCUCUCCUACUUUUUUAUUUUUCUGAGAACCGGACGUCUUGCUCUAUUGCCCA
ensembl:lincRNA